GAGGCGGCUAAUACUGCAGUCGAGCGAGCUUGCCUAGAUGAUUUUAGUGCUUGCACUAAAUGAAACUAGAUACAAGCGAGCGGCGGACGGGUGAGUAACACGUGGGUAACCUGCCCAAGAGACUGGGAUAACACCUGGAAACAGAUGCUAAUACCGGAUAACAACACUAGACGCAUGUCUAGAGUUUGAAAGAUGGUUCUGCUAUCACUCUUGGAUGGACCUGCGGUGCAUUAGCUAGUUGGUAAGGUAACGGCUUACCAAGGCAAUGAUGCAUAGCCGAGUUGAGAGACUGAUCGGCCACAUUGGGACUGAGACACGGCCCAAACUCCUACGGGAGGCAGCAGUAGGGAAUCUUCCACAAUGGACGAAAGUCUGAUGGAGCAACGCCGCGUGAGUGAAGAAGGGUUUCGGCUCGUAAAGCUCUGUUGGUAGUGAAGAAAGAUAGAGGUAGUAACUGGCCUUUAUUUGACGGUAAUUACUUAGAAAGUCACGGCUAACUACGUGCCAGCAGCCGCGGUAAUACGUAGGUGGCAAGCGUUGUCCGGAUUUAUUGGGCGUAAAGCGAGUGCAGGCGGUUCAAUAAGUCUGAUGUGAAAGCCUUCGGCUCAACCGGAGAAUUGCAUCAGAAACUAUUGAACUUGAGUGCGGAAGAGGAGAGUGGAACUCCAUGUGUAGCGGUGGAAUGCGUAGAUAUAUGGAAGAACACCAGUGGCGAAGGCGGCUCUCUGGUCUGCAACUGACGCUGAGACU
rnacentral:rRNA from 1 species